CGCUGGCGGCGUGCUUAACACAUGCAAGUCUACGAGAACGAGGUAGCAAUAUCUUUAGUAAAGUGGCGUACGGGUGCGUAACACGUAAGUAAUCUACCUUUGGGUUCGGAAUAACUUCGGGAAAUCGGAGCUAAUACCGGAUAAUGCAGCGGCACCGCAUGGUGAUGUUGUUAAAGUUUGUGUAAUGCCUAAAGAUGAACUUGCGUCUGAUUAGCUAGUUGGUGAGGUAAUGGCUCACCAAGGCUGCGAUCAGUAGCUGGUCUGAGAGGAUGAUCAGCCACACUGGAACUGAGACACGGUCCAGACUCCUACGGGAGGCAGCAGUGAGGAAUAUUGGGCAAUGCCCGAAAGGGUGACCCAGCAACGCCGCGUGGAGGAUGAAGGUCGUAAGAUUGUAAACUCCUGUUAGAGGGGAAGAAUAACUAAGUUUGGAGCUUAGUAUGACUGUACCCUCAGAGAAAGCCCCGGCUAACUAC
rnacentral:rRNA from 1 species